rnacentral:rRNA from 1 species
UACGAAGGUGGCUAGCGUUGCUCGGAAUCACUGGGCGUAAAGGGUGCGUAGGCGGGUCUUUAAGUCAGGGGUGAAAUCCUGGAGCUCAACUCCAGAACUGCCUUUGAUACUGAAGAUCUUGAGUUCGGGAGAGGUGAGUGGAACUGCGAGUGUAGAGGUGAAAUUCGUAGAUAUUCGCAAGAACACCAGUGGCGAAGGCGGCUCACUGGCCCGAUACUGACGCUGAGGCACGAAAGCGUGGGGAGCAAACAGG